rnacentral:rRNA from 1 species
UCGAGGAUAUUUAGCAAUGGGCGAAAGCCUGACUAUGCGACGCCGCGUGAGGGAUGAAGUAUUUCGGUACGUAAACCUCUUUCGAUGGGAAAGAAAACCCGCUAUUUAACGUAGCGGAUUGACGGUACCCAGAGAAGAAGCCACGGCCAACUCCGUGCCAGCAGCCGCGGUAAUACGGGGGUGGCGAGCGUUACUCGGAUUUAUUGGGUGUAAAGGGCAGGUAGGUGUCCCACCAAGUUAGGAGUGAAAUCCUGCAGCUUAACUGCAGAACUGCUUCUAAAACUGAUGGGAUUGAGGCUAGGAGAGGAGAGCGGAAUUCCCGGUGUAAGGGUGAAAUCUGUAGAUAUCGGGAGGAACACCAGUAGCGAAAGCGGCUCUCUGGUCUAGAUCUGACGCUGAA